CGGGNGGUAGUAACACGUGGAUAACCUACCUAUAAGACUGGGAUAACUUCGGGAAACCGGAGCUAAUACCGGAUAAUAUAUUGAACCGCAUGGUUCAAUAGUGAAAGACGGUUUUGCUGUCACUUAUAGAUGGAUCCGCGCCGCAUUAGCUAGUUGGUAAGGUAACGGCUUACCAAGGCAACGAUGCGUAGCCGACCUGAGAGGGUGAUCGGCCACACUGGAACUGAGACACGGUCCAGACUCCUACGGGAGGCAGCAGGC
rnacentral:rRNA from 1 species